GGCUGUUGUGACCACCACUGUGCUCAUGGAAGGAAGAGCCACAGAAGAUCCAGAGCUUAAGGGAUGCAAAGCCCUGGCCCUGUAGUCAAGAAGGGACAAGGUAGAGGAGAGGAAAUGUCCCAACAUGAAAAAUGGUGGACUUGGAAUGUGACUUCACAGCUCAUGUACUCACCAGUGUUUCCCCUGGACUGUGAGGCCAAAGUUCACAUUGAAUUUAAUCAAGACUGCAGUGAGAACAGGAAUAAGCAAACUGCAAGAUAUGUGUGUGACAACUAAUGAAUGUAUCUCAGCAAAACUCCACUGCCUGGAGAGGAGGAACGUCAACAGGUUAAUGACAGCCAUCAAAAAAGGAAAAAAAAUUAGUGACAACAGCAAGAAAAUGAUUUCAAUGUAAUCAGGUUGCUCAUGAUACAUAUGUUGGAAAAAUUAAUUCAAAGGGCAUAUCUCCAUUUCUUCUGAGUAGGUAUCAAAGACACAGUACAAUUAAAACAAUGGAGGACAUCUUAUAUUGUACUUAUAUUGUCAACUCCGCUUUUUUUUUUUUUUUUUUAAAGAUUUUAUUUAUUUAUUUGACAGAGAGAGAGAGCACAAGCAAGGGAAGCAGCAGAGGGAGAAGCAGGCUCCUGCUGAGCAGGG
rnacentral:lncRNA from 1 species